rnacentral:rRNA from 1 species
GAUGAACGCUGGCGGCGUGCCUAAUACAUGCAAGUCGAGCGAACAGAUAAGGAGCUUGCUCCUUUGACGUUAGCGGCGGACGGGUGAGUAACACGUGGGUAACCUACUUAUAAGACUGGAAUAACUCCGGGAAACCGGGGCUAAUGCCGGAUAACAUUUAGAACCGCAUGGUUCUAAAGUGAAUGAUGGUUUUGCUAUCACUUAUAGAUGGACCCGCGCCGUAUUGGCUGGUUGGUAAGGUUACGGCCUACCAAGGCAACGAUUCGUAGCCGACCGGAGGGGAGGGUCGGCCCCACGGGAAGGGGAACAGCGGCCAGGGUCCUGAGGGAGGCAACAGUAGGGAAAGGUAGGCAAAGGGGGGAAACCUUGCCGAACAAACCCGAGCGGGGUGAAGAAGCGCUGCGGUCGGGAAAACCGUUUUUUGGGGGAAAAAAAAAUUGGGAUGUAACGAAGCGGGUUUGACGGUAACCAAAAAAGAAGCACCGGCUAACUACGUG